rnacentral:tRNA from 1 species
GCCGGAAUAGCUCAGUUGGUAGAGCAGGGGACUGAAAAUCCUCGUGUCACCAGUUCAAAUACUGGCCGUCGUUUUA